rnacentral:lncRNA from 1 species
AUGGAUGCCCUCAGCUGGGAGGGUGGCUUUGUGGGACCGUUCCUGAAGGCGCCCCUGCACAAAUGGCAUCUGCCUCUGGUGGCCAGUCACCUCCUCGCUGCUGGGAGCCACCACAGCCCCCUUCUGCAGUCCCCUGUGAGCUUUCCAGCCAGCACAAGGCAAAGGCACUCCAGCCAUGCACAGGAACACCCUCGCAGCCCCACAAGGCUGAGCGCUGCUCGGUGCCUCCUCACGUGGGCAUCCUCCAGCGGGUCUGGUCCCUCUGUGACAGACUUUGGCAAGCAGAGAGCUGGAUUUGCUGUGGCAGCUGCUGGCACCAGGGGCAUUGCCACCUCCAGAGGCAGCUCAGGGUGGUGCUCAGCCCAGGACUCACUCACACACACUCUGCAGGUCCCCAGGGAGGACUGGUGGCCCCGGGGCUGUGCAGGUCAAGCCCGGAGCUCGCUGAGCCGCUUCUCCUCCUGCAGCUGGAUGAGGAUGUUCCGCUUGUUCACCACCUCCACCAGCUGCUUCAGGAUCUCCUGCUCAGCCUUCUCAUCCUCAGGUGUCUUCAGGGCAUCUGUGGGUGCAGGGGGCUGGAGUAGAGCUGGCAAGGCCACAAGGCCUGACCUGCUCCCUGCACCGUGCAAAGGGAUCCUCUCCCUGGCACGUGCUGGCACUUACCCUCCUUGUUCAUGUAGCUCCGGAGCUUCUCGUCAAGCUGGCACUGCUGCUCCUCCAGCUUCAGUUCCUGCACCCUGUGGGGAGGAAGAGGCUGUGCUGGGUACUGAAUUUGCAGGGGAUUGGGGUGAGCUGAGCCCCCACACCCACCAGGGAGCAUCCCCCAAGCCUCACGCGAUCAUGAGGUCCGACUCCUCGGUCAUCAGAUUGUUCUUCUUCUGCACCAGGUACAGCAGCUGGUUUGUCCACUGUGUGUGCUGGUCAGCCAGGCUGUCUGCAGGACAGGGGGAUGGUCAGCAGGGUGCAGACCCCCACUGCAGGGUCACAGUGCUCUGCCCACCCUGGCUUUACCAUUCUCAUCCCGGAGUAACUUCUCCAGCUUUGUGCCCUGCUGCUCCAGCUCCCGGAAUGUCACCUCGAUCUCCUCCAGCCGCCUCUGGAUGGCCUGCAAGGGAAGGGCAGCACUCCCCUGCAGGCCAGCACCUGCCAGCAGCAGCAGGACGGAGGGGACAGGGUGCAGUGCCACGCUGGGGACGUGGCUGUCCCCUCUGGGGUUACCUGGGCUCUGCAGAACCUCUUCAUCUGGGAUUCCCUGGUCCGGCGGGCCAAGGUGCGCUUCCAGGUGGGGAAUUUCUCCUCUUCCCUGGGGUCUGGGUACUGUGA